GUCACUCUGGCUGAAGAACAGAGCCGUGGCCAGCAGACAAGAGACAGAGUUGGGCCAGAUCCCGUCUGUCCACAGGUUUCCAGAACAGAACCAGCCAAUUCUGGCCCAAGCCUGGAGUGGAGAGCAUGUCAGCACCUCCCUUGCAAGAGGAGUCCAGGUCACGAGAGUAUGAUGACCCGGCUUUGCAAGUUGCUGGUUUUGUAAAUUCUCCAUGCACUGAUGUCAUACCCCUGUCCAUCCAGCAUAAGAUGGAGGCCUUCAUCCUGGGUUCCAGAGAUACAUCAUGAAGCCAAAUGCACAGCCAUCAAAGACAAUAUUCCCUGGUCCAGCUUCCUUACUUCUUCUCUCUUUCAUUCUGGUCCUUGACUCAUUUGCCCCAGCAACCCCACAGUUACUCUGUCCAGCUUCUGCUUUCUCUUGUCUGGCCUCAGUGUGGAUUGUCAGUCUCUUCUCAGUGUGGUUCUGCUGCUGGGGAUGGUCAUGAGGGUAGGAGGAGGUCAGUGAAAAGAGGCCCUCUCUGUGGUCUGGCCCCACACGCAGCCCUUUUCCUCAGUGAAUCAUAAUCUCCUGGGAGCGCAUCUCCUAUUAUGUUCUUGGAGUGUUUGUCUUAUUGCCAGACUUGAAUGACAUUAUACAGGGUCUGGCCUUGAGCUCUUGGAAAUUGGAAUUAGAACAGGAGGGAAUGAUCUUGUCUACCA